GAUGGCUUGGUGCUCGAAAGAGACCGUAACACAGGUGCUGCAUGGCUGUCGUCAGCUCGUGUCGUGAGAUGUUGGGUUAAGUCCCGCAACGAGCGCAACCCUUGUCAUUAGUUGCUACAUUUGGUUGGGCACUCUAAUGAGACUGCCGGUGACAAACCGGAGGAAGGUGGGGAUGACGUCAAGUCCUCAUGGCCCUUAUAGGUAGGGCUACACACGUCAUACAAUGGAUGGUACAGAGGGUCGCCAACCCGCGAGGGGGAGCUAAUCCCAUAAAACCAUUCGUAGUCCGGAUCGCAGUCUGCAACUCGACUGCGUGAAGUC
rnacentral:rRNA from 1 species